AGGCGAUGAAGGACGUGCUAAUCUGCGAUAAGCGUCGGUGAGGUGAUAUGAACCGUUAUAACCGGCGAUUUCCGAAUGGGGAAACCCAGUGUGUUUCGACACACUAUCAUUAACUGAAUCCAUAGGUUAAUGAGGCGAACCGGGGGAACUGAAACAUCUAAGUACCCCGAGGAAAAGAAAUCAACCGAGAUUCCCCCAGUAGCGGCGAGCGAACGGGGAGGAGCCCAGAGCCUGAAUCAGUGUGUGUGUUAGUGGAAGCGUCUGGAAAGGCGUGCGAUACAGGGUGACAGCCCCGUACACAAAAAUGCACAUAUUGUGAGCUCGAUGAGUAGGGCGGGACACGUGGUAUCCUGUCUGAAUAUGGGGGGACCAUCCUCCAAGGCUAAAUACUCCUGACUGACCGAUAGUGAACCAGUACCGUGAGGGAAAGGCGAAAAGAACCCCGGCGAGGGGAGUGAAAAAGAACCUGAAACCGUGUACGUACAAGCAGUGGGAGCCUCUUAAUGGGGUGACUGCGUACCUUUUGUAUAAUGGGUCAGCGACUUAUAUUCUGUAGCAAGGUUAACCGAAUAGGGGAGCCGAAGGGAAACCGAGUCUUAACUGGGCGUUAAGUUGCAGGGUAUAGACCCGAAACCCGGUGAUCUAGCCAUGGGCAGGUUGAAGGUUGGGUAACACUAACUGGAGGACCGAACCGACUAAUGUUGAAAAAUUAGCGGAUGACUUGUGGCUGGGGGUGAAAGGCCAAUCAAACCGGGAGAUAGCUGGUUCUCCCCGAAAGCUAUUUAGGUAGCGCCUCGUGAAUUCAUCUCCGGGGGUAGAGCACUGUUUCGGCAAGGGGGUCAUCCCGACUUACCAACCCGAUGCAAACUGCGAAUACCGGAGAAUGUUAUCACGGGAGACACACGGCGGGUGCUAACGUCCGUCGUGAAGAGGGAAACAACCCAGACCGCCAGCUAAGGUCCCAAAGUCAUGGUUAAGUGGGAAACGAUGUGGGAAGGCCCAGACAGCCAGGAUGUUGGCUUAGAAGCAGCCAUCAUUUAAAGAAAGCGUAAUAGCUCACUGGUCGAGUCGGCCUGCGCGGAAGAUGUAACGGGGCUAAACCAUGCACCGAAGCUGCGGCAGCGACACUAUGUGUUGUUGGGUAGGGGAGCGUUCUGUAAGCCUGUGAAGGUGGCCUGUGAGGGUUGCUGGAGGUAUCAGAAGUGCGAAUGCUGACAUAAGUAACGAUAAAGCGGGUGAAAAGCCCGCUCGCCGGAAGACCAAGGGUUCCUGUCCAACGUUAAUCGGGGCAGGGUGAGUCGACCCCUAAGGCGAGGCCGAAAGGCGUAGUCGAUGGGAAACAGGUUAAUAUUCCUGUACUUGGUGUUACUGCGAAGGGGGGACGGAGAAGGCUAUGUUGGCCGGGCGACGGUUGUCCCGGUUUAAGCGUGUAGGCUGGUUUUCCAGGCAAAUCCGGAAAACCAAGGCUGAGGCGUGAUGACGAGGCACUACGGUGCUGAAGCGACAAAUGCCCUGCUUCCAGGAAAAGCCUCUAAGCAUCAGGUAACAUCAAAUCGUACCCCAAACCGACACAGGUGGUCAGGUAGAGAAUACCAAGGCGCUUGAGAGAACUCGGGUGAAGGAACUAGGCAAAAUGGUGCCGUAACUUCGGGAGAAGGCACGCUGAUAUGUAGGUGAAGCGACUUGCUCGUGGAGCUGAAAUCAGUCGAAGAUACCAGCUGGCUGCAACUGUUUAUUAAAAACACAGCACUGUGCAAACACGAAAGUGGACGUAUACGGUGUGACGCCUGCCCGGUGCCGGAAGGUUAAUUGAUGGGGUUAGCGGCAACGCGAAGCUCUUGAUCGAAGCCCCGGUAAACGGCGGCCGUAACUAUAACGGUCCUAAGGUAGCGAAAUUCCUUGUCGGGUAAGUUCCGACCUGCACGAAUGGCGUAAUGAUGGCCAGGCUGUCUCCACCCGAGACUCAGUGAAAUUGAACUCGCUGUGAAGAUGCAGUGUACCCGCGGCAAGACGGAAAGACCCCGUGAACCUUUACUAUAGCUUGACACUGAACAUUGAGCCUUGAUGUGUAGGAUAGGUGGGAGGCUUUGAAGUGUGGACGCCAGUCUGCAUGGAGCCGACCUUGAAAUACCACCCUUUAAUGUUUGAUGUUCUAACGUUGGCCCGUAAUCCGGGUUGCGGACAGUGUCUGGUGGGUAGUUUGACUGGGGCGGUCUCCUCCUAAAGAGUAACGGAGGAGCACGAAGGUUGGCUAAUCCUGGUCGGACAUCAGGAGGUUAGUGCAAUGGCAUAAGCCAGCUUGACUGCGAGCGUGACGGCGCGAGCAGGUGCGAAAGCAGGUCAUAGUGAUCCGGUGGUUCUGAAUGGAAGGGCCAUCGCUCAACGGAUAAAAGGUACUCCGGGGAUAACAGGCUGAUACCGCCCAAGAGUUCAUAUCGACGGCGGUGUUUGGCACCUCGAUGUCGGCUCAUCACAUCCUGGGGCUGAAGUAGGUCCCAAGGGUAUGGCUGUUCGCCAUUUAAAGUGGUACGCGAGCUGGGUUUAGAACGUCGUGAGACAGUUCGGUCCCUAUCUGCCGUGGGCGCUGGAGAACUGAGGGGGGCUGCUCCUAGUACGAGAGGACCGGAGUGGACGCAUCACUGGUGUUCGGGUUGUCAUGCCAAUGGCACUGCCCGGUAGCUAAAUGCGGAAGAGAUAAGUGCUGAAAGCAUCUAAGCACGAAACUUGCCCCGAGAUGAGUUCUCCCUGACUCCUUGAGAGUCCUGAAGGAACGUUGAAGACGACGACGUUGAUAGGCCGGGUGUGUAAGCGCAGCGAUGCGUUGAGCUAACCGGUACUAAUGAACCGUGAGGCUUAACCUU
rnacentral:rRNA from 1 species